rnacentral:rRNA from 1 species
ACGAGGAUCUAUUGGAGGGCAAGUCUGGUGCCAGCAGCCGCGGUAAUUCCAGCUCCAAUAGCGUAUAUUAAAGUUGUUGCGGUUAAAAAGCUCGUAGUUGGAUCUCGGUUUCACUCAGGCGGUACACCUUGCGGUGUUCACUGUCUGGGCGGACGUUUCUGUUGGUUCGCUGUUGGUUCUCUUAAUCGAGUGCCAAUUGGUGGCCAGCACGUUUACUUUGAAAAAAUUGGAGUGCUCAAAGCAGGCGUUACAGCCUGAACAUUAGUGCAUGGAAUAAUGGAAUAGGAUCUCGAUUCUAUUUCGUUGGCUUUCGGAGUCGAGGUAAUGAUUAAUAGGGACAGACGGGGGCAUUCGUACUGCGACGUUAGAGGUGAAAUUCUUGGAUCGUCGCAAGACGAACUACUGCGAAAGCAUUUGCCAAGAAUGUUUUCAUUAAUCAAGAACGAAAGUUAGAGGUUCGAAGGCGAUCAGAUACCGCCCUAGUUCUAACCAUAAACGAUGCCAACCGGCGAUCCGUCGUCGUUAAUUGAAUGACUCGACGGGCAGCCUCCGGGAAACCAGAGUGUUUGGGUUCCGGGGGAAGUAUGGUUGCAAAGCUGAAACUUAAAGGAAUUGACGGAAGGGCACCACCAGGAGUGGAGCCUGCGGCUUAAUUUGACUCAACACGGGAAAUCUCACCAGGCCCGGACACCGGAAGGAUUGACAGAUUGAGAGCUCUUUCUUGAUUCGGUGGGUGGUGGUGCAUGGCCGUUCUUAGUUGGUGGAGCGAUUUGUCUGGUUAAUUCCGAUAACGAACGAGACUCUGGCCUACUAACUAGAAGGGUCGUUCUUUACGAGCGGCCCUCUGCUUCUUAGAGGGACGGGCGGCGUUUAGCCGCACGAGAAUGAGCAAUAACAGGUCUGUGAUGCCCUUAGAUGUUCUGGGCUGCACGCGCGCUACACUGAAGGAAUCAGCAUGUUCUCCCCUCCCUGAAAAGGGCGGGUAACCCGUUGAAACUCCUUCGUGAUGGGGAUUGGAGAUUGUAAUUAUUCUCCAUGAACGAGGAAUUCCCAGUAGGCGCGAGUCAUCAGCUUGCGUCGAUUACGUCCCUGCCCUUUGUACACACCGCCCGUCGCUACUACCGAUCGAGUGAUUUAGUGAGGACUUCGGACUGGUCUCCAAGUUGGCUUCGGUCAGCUCGGAGUUCCGGAAAGAUGCCCAAACUUGAUCACUUAGAGGAAGUAAAAGUCGUA